AUUGAACGCUGGCGGCAUGCCUUACACAUGCAAGUCGAACGGCAGCACGGGGCAACCUGGUGGCGAGUGGCGAACGGGUGAGUAAUGCAUCGGAACGUACCUUUCAGUGGGGGAUAACGUAGCGAAAGUUACGCUAAUACCGCAUAUUCUGUGAGCAGGAAAGCAGGGAUCGCAAGACCUUGCGCUGAUUGAGCGGCCGAUGUCAGAUUAGCUAGUUGGUGAGGUAAAGGCUCACCAAGGCGACGAUCUGUAGCGGGUCUGAGAGGAUGAUCCGCCACACUGGGACUGGGACACGGGCCAGACUCCUACGGGAGGCAGCAGUGGGGAAUUUUGGCCAAUGGGGGCAAGCCUGAUCCAGCCAUGCCGCGUGAGUGAAGAAGGCCUUCGGGUUGUAAAGCUCUUUCGGCCGGGAAGAAAUCGCACGGGCUAAUACCCUGUGUGGAUGACGGUACCGGAAUAAGAAGCACCGGCUAACUACGUGCCAGCAGCCGCCGUAACAC
rnacentral:rRNA from 1 species